rnacentral:lncRNA from 12 species
GGGGGGGGGGGGGGGGGGGGGGGGGGGGGGGGGGGGGGGGGGGGGGGGGGGGGGGGGGGGGGGGGGGGGUGCUGCCCCGGCAGGAGCCGCCCCUGUCCCGGCCUCAGCCCGCCGUGAGGGGAGAGGGGCGGCCUGAGGGGAGCCGCCCGCCAUAGGGGUCUUGGCGCGGGGGGUGGCGCGGAGCUGCACCGGCGCGUGUCGCGACUGGAGCCCCAGCCGUCCUGGGAGCACUGCCCUCACUCUGUCGUGAUAGAAGCCUCAUCCAGUGCAGGGUUCUUACACGGUGCCAUGGCAUGAGCUUCUGCCAUCCCAUAUAUUUUCUGAAUUACAGGAAAGAGUCACACUCUCUGACUUUUCAAGAUUGAAAGGAAGACAUGCAGGAUCACUCCAUGUAGAAUGAAUCCUGUUCCCUGAAAUGCAGCUGGAGAACAAGGGCAGCUCAGGCCACCCCAGACCUCAGGAGAUUGAUAGUGUUGGCAGCUGAGGAUCUAAUUAUGGAUUAUUUGGGUCGGACUCUUUUAUCCCAGGUAGGUGUCACUUGA